GUCUAUGGCCAUACCACCCUGAAUGCGCCCGAUCUCGUAAGCUAAGCAGGGUCGGGCCUGGUUAGUACUUGGAUGGGAAGAAUAUGGAAAAUAUACCUGCCCGCAGGUGGAGCUGGACUCUCUUAACA
ensembl:rRNA 5S_rRNA 5S ribosomal RNA